AACGAACGCUGGCGGCAGGCUUAACACAUGCAAGUGGAGCGACGAACCAGGGCUUGCCCUGGGGCAGAGCCGCGAACGGGUGAGUAACACGUGGGUAACCUACCCCGAUGACCGGGACAACCCGAGGAAACUCGGGCUAAUACCGGAUGUUCUCGCUUCUCGUAAGGGAAGCGAGCAAAGAUAGCUUCGGCCUUCGCAUCGGGACGGGCCCGCGGCCCAUUAGCUUGUUGGUGGGGUAACGGCCUACCAAGGCUGCGAUGGGUAGCUGGUCUGAGAGGACGAUCAGCCACACUGGGACUGAGACACGGCCCAGACUCCUACGGGAGGCAGCAGUGGGGAAUCUUGCGCAAUGCGCGAAAGCGUGACGCAGCAACGCCGCGUGGGGGAAGAAGGCCUUCGGGUUGUAAACCCCUUUCAGUUGGGACGAAGCUUCGCCGGUUAAUAGCCGGCUGGAGUGACGGUACCUUCAGAAGAAGCCCCGGCUAACUACGUGCCAGCAGCCGCGGUAAAAC
rnacentral:rRNA from 1 species